GUCCCCGUAGCUCAAUCUGGAUAGGGCACCGGCCUCCGAAGCCGGCUAUGGCAGUUCGAAUCUGCCCGGGGACACCA
rnacentral:tRNA from 1 species